rnacentral:ncRNA from 1 species
UCUUGCAGUGUCCGGUGCCCCCUCCUCAACCAUUGAAAAUAUGGAGGACCGAGUAUCGUCCAUGCCUAGUCAUACUCAUAAUUGCAUCAGGUCUCCAAGGUGAACAACCUCUGGUCAAAAGAACAAUGU